rnacentral:snoRNA from 1 species
UGCAGCUUUGUCAAAUUCAGUGCUCCCUCCAUAGUAGGUUUCACUGGCCAAAAUGGCUGCAACAGUGAGUGUAGUUCAUGGGCCCCACAUUUCUUUGUGGAUUGUGAGGAUAAAUAUGUACUACUGACAGAU